rnacentral:rRNA from 1 species
UACGGAGGGUGCAAGCGUUAUCCGGAUUCACUGGGUUUAAAGGGUGCGUAGGUGGACUUGUAAGUCAGUGGUGAAAGCCCGGAGCUCAACUCCGGAACUGCCAUUGAUACUGCAGGUCUUGAGUACACUUGAGGUGGGCGGAAUACAUCAUGUAGUGGUGAAAUACUUAGAUAUGAUGUAGAACACCGAUUGCGAAGGCAGCUCACUAAAUUGUAACUGACACUGAGGCACGAAAGCGUGGGGAUCAAACAGG